rnacentral:lncRNA from 1 species
GCGUAAUAGACGCUAUACUUUUCUUUUUUUUUUCGUCUUUUUCUGCGUUUGCCUUUCAGAGGAAGGAUGCCACAAACUAGGGCAGAAAUUUAAUCUUUGUCAGCGCUUGAGCUCCAGCCACUUUCCCGCUUUCCGGAACUGGAUUCGUGACACCCUCAUCGGUGUCGCACUGGUUAACUACCCCUAUCCGUCAUGGCGGGUGCCGCCUCACCCAGUGAAGGUGGUAUGCAAUCGCUUAAGAAAAUCCGAAAGAAACGAUAGCCGUUUGAUCGACGCGGCAGUCGAGGCAGUCGGCUUCUUUCGGAACGCCACAGGUAAAACUGCCUGCUACACUGUGCCGGCUACUCCAGAGAGCUCUGCAUGGCUUUUUCAGCAAUGCACCGAAUUCGCUCUUCCCUUGUGCGGGGACGGCGUAGCGGACAUGUUCUACCCGACCGAGUGGGACUACGUCAAAUUCUAUCAGAAGUGUCGUCUGCUGUUCGGCGUCGAAUCAAGCGUCGACAGACUCGUCCGGGCACUGGGAGGUGCCAACCUGUGUGGAACGUCGAGAGUGUU